UGCUUCUUUCUGCCUGUUACAUACAUUUGGAUUUUGAAUAUAUCCUUCCAGUUAGAAGUGCAUUAAAUGAAAAUCACUUUCGUGAUAAUUGCAAAUUUUCCGGGCUUCACAGUGUAGGAUAAUCCUAUUUGAACUAACUGAUGCAUAUCUUUAGGACUACGAGUAGAGCGGAUGUGUCGGUCUGCCCGCAUUUCUAACAAUAUUUCAAAACAAGCUUUUGCCAUUUGGUCGUACAAUGAGAAUAGUCAAUUAUUAAAUUAAUGAUCAGUCAAAAACAGGAGUCAGCAACGACCCAAUUAGAGCCUAAGAUACAAUACCCAAAUUAAUAAAUAAAUUUAGUUUUUUACGAAUUUGCCAAGCCUGCGAA